AUUGAACGCUGGCGGCAUGCUUUACACAUGCAAAUCGAACGGUAACAGGCCUUCGGGUGCUGACGAGUGGCGAACGGGUGCGUAAUGCAUCGGAACGUACCCAGAGGUGGGGGAUAACGCAGCGAAAGCUGUGCUAAUACCGCAUGUGAUCUGAGGAUGAAAGCGGGGGACCGAGCAGCAAUGUUUGGCCUCGCGCCUUUGGAGCGGCCGAUGUCGGAUUAGCUAGUUGGUGGGGUAAAGGCCUACCAAGGCGACGAUCCGUAGCUGGUCUGAGAGGACGACCAGCCACACUGGGACUGAGACACGGCCCAGACUCCUACGGGAGGCAGCAGUGGGGAAUUUUGGACAAUGGGCGCAAGCCUGAUCCAGCAAUGCCGCGUGCGGGAAGAAGGCCUUCGGGUUGUAAACCGCUUUUGGCAGGAACGAAACGGUGUCCGCUAAUACCGGGCGCUAAUGACGGUACCUGCAGAAUAAGCACCGGCUAACUACGUG
rnacentral:rRNA from 1 species